CGCGCAUGUGUUCUGACUAUGGCAAAGAAGGUCUUUGCCGCGUGCACGGCCCGACUUAAAUCUCUGCAAUGGCUAACGAAGCUUAUCCUUGUCCGUGUGACAUCGGCCACAGACUUGAGUAUGGAGGGCUAGGCCGUGAAGUUCAAGUCGAGCACAUCAAGGCUUAUGUCACCAAAUCCCCCGUUGAUGCAGGCAAAGCUGUGAUUGUCAUUCAAGAUAUAUUUGGCUGGCAGUUGCCCAAUACCAGAUAUAUGGCUGACAUGAUCUCAGGAAAUGGAUACACAACCAUUGUUCCAGACUUCUUUGUAGGGCAAGAGCCUUGGGACCCCUCUGGCGACUGGUCCAUCUUCCCUGAGUGGCUGAAAACAAGAAAUGCCCAGAAGAUCGAUAGAGAGAUCAGUGCUAUCUUGAAGUAUCUGAAACAACAGUGUCAUGCCCAGAAAAUUGGCAUCGUGGGAUUCUGCUGGGGUGGAAUUGCUGUCCAUCAUUUGAUGAUGAAAUACUCAGAAUUCAGGGCAGGGGUGUCUGUCUAUGGUAUCUUUGCUGACUCAGAAGUUGAAAGAACACUGCAAAGUUGAAUAUCAAAUUAAAACAUUUUCUGGGCAGACUCAUGGGUUCGUGCAUCGGAAGAGAGAAGAUUGCUCACCUGCAGACAAGCCCUACAUUGAUGAGGCGAGAAGGAAUUUAAUUGAGUGGCUGAA
rnacentral:sRNA from 1 species